rnacentral:rRNA from 1 species
CUUAGAGUUUGAUCCUGGCUCAGAUUGAACGCUGGCGGCAGGCUUAACACAUGCAAGUCGAGCGGUAACAUUUCUAGCUUGCUAGAAGAUGACGAGCGGCGGACGGGUGAGUAACGCGUAGAAAUCUGCCUGGUAGUGGGGGAUAGCCCAGAGAAAUUUGGAUUAAUACCGCAUACGCCCUACGGGGGAAAGCAGGGGACCUUCGGGCCUUGCGCUAUCAGAUGAGUCUGCGUCGGAUUAGCUAGUUGGUGGGGUAAUGGCCUACCAAGGCGACGAUCCGUAGCUGGUCUGAGAGGAUGAUCAGCCACACUGGGACUGAGACACGGCCCAGACUCCUACGGGAGGCAGCAGUGGGGAAUAUUGCACAAUGGGCGCAAGCCUGAUGCAGCCAUGCCGCGUGUGUGAAGAAGGCCUUAGGGUUGUAAAGCACUUUCAGCAGUG